CUACGGGGCGCUCCAGUGAGGAAUUUUGCGCAAUGGGGGAAACCCUGACGCAGCAACGCCGCGUGAGUGAUGAAGGCCUUCGGGUCGUAAAACUCUGUCAAGUGGGAAGAACCUAUGUAAGGUUAAUACCCUUAUGUACUGACGGUACCACUGAAGGAAGCACCGGCUAACUCCGUGCCAGCAGCCGCGGUAAUACGGAGGGUGCAAGCGUUAUUCGGAAUUAUUGGGCGUAAAGGGCGCGCAGGCGGUUUUGUAAGUCAGAUGUGAAAGCCCGGGGCUUAACCUCGGAAGUGCAUUUGAUACUGCAAGGCUUGAGUAUGGGAGGGGGAAGUGGAAUUCCUGGUGUAGAGGUGAAAUUCGUAGAUAUCAGGAGGAACACCAGUGGCGAAGGCGACUUCCUGGACCAAUACUGACGCUGAGGCGCGAAGGCGUGGGGAGCAAACAGGAUUAGAUACCCCCGUAGUC
rnacentral:rRNA from 1 species